rnacentral:piRNA from 1 species
UGCCAUUUCAGAUGUUACACCGGAGA